GGAAGGAUCAUUAACACGUAUCCAACGUUAAACCCCCCCGUGAACGUACAAUCUGUUGCUUCUCCGGUAACGCGAAACAAUGGUUGCAAUCCCUGGUAAAUCAUCGCCGAACAGUUUUGAUUCAGGGACUUCAAGCACGUUACUGUCCUGAUAAAAGAGGAGUCCCCAGCGCAAGCUUUUCUUGACCUGGUGGGUGGGUUCGACUAUCCCAAGGUAUGGCGUGCUUUCAUAAUCAGGGGGUUGUGAAAGUGUUCAACCUGCUUAUGUUUAUCUUUGUAAAGUAGAAAGGUCACAAGAUGCUGUAAGAUAGACCGCUUUAAUCAGCGGGUCACCAGGAGGCCGACACGGCCGGUAAUCGGAUUCUGGGCGUCGUUCCUAUAGGAACGAGUACACGUCCCUCUUGACCCAUUGAAACGACAGGGUGUCUGCAAAACGGAAGGCUCAAUCACUCCACACUUGAAAGGGUCGUGGAGAUAACGAACAACUGUUAACAAUGGAUAUCUUGGUUCUCGCAACGAUGAAGAACGCAGCGAAAUGCGAUACGUAAUGCGAAUUGCAGAAUUCAGUGAAUCAUCGAAUCUUUGAACGCAAAUUGCGCUCUCGGGUUACCCCCAAGAGCACACCUCUCUGAGUGUCGGUUUAACCAAAUGUCACCAAUUUAUUGGUGUACGACAGACUGAGGGUAAGGGGUCUCGGCUUCUUUCCUUUUAAAUUUCAGCAACACAGAUGUGUGUGUUUGUGGCAAGUUGCUUUCACUUAACUGUGAAUCCAAUCCACUAACCCUAUUUGUGGAGCCCAAAGAAACAAAUGAACAAUGGUGUGAAUAAGGAUAUAAACAAGGGUGUGAACUUAGAGACGUGCUUUUACGAUGAACGGGAUGGAUACGCCGGUUGAGUUGGAUAAUCAGGGGGUUGUGAAAGUGUUCAACCUGAUUGUUUGACUCCUUGUGUGUUCGACUUGAUUGUUGUUUGAGUGUGACUUUGGGGGAACGGCUUUGUGAAUGUCUUUGUGCAUGUCUUUGUGCAUCUAUGAAUUAGACCUCAGAUGAAGUGGGAAGACCCCCUGAAUUUAAGCAUAUUAUUAAGGGGAGGAAAAGAAACUAACAAGGAUUCCCCUAGUAACGGCGAGUGAAGCGGGAAGAGCUCAAAUUUAAAAUCCACUGGUCUAACAGCCUGUGGAGUUGUAAUCUAGAGAGGCUCUCUCAGUGCCAGCCUGGUUAUAAGUCCCUUGAAACGGGGCAUCAAAGAGGGUGAGAAUCCCGUAUUUGAGCCGGAGCUAAGUACGUACGAGGAGUUUUCUAAGAGUCGCGUUGCUUGGGAGUGCAGCGCUAAAUGGGUGGUAAAGUUCAUCUAAAGCUAAAUACUGGCGAGAGACCGAUAGCGAACAAGUACCGUGAGGGAAAGAUGAAAAGAACUUUGAAAAGAGAGUUAAAAAGUACUUGAAAUUGUUAACAGGGAAGGGGAGUCAACCAGUCAUUAUUAAGCUUCAUUCGCUUCUCCUUCGGGAGGGGUUACUUGAGGCUAAAUAGGAACGUAAGAUUGUACAAGCUAACGAAUCCGAAGAAACGCACCAGCUCACACAUUUUCUCCGAAGACCCUAAGUGAUGCUGACCCUAUAACCCCCCACCUUCGGGUGUCGGCUCUCUGAGGUCUGUUUGCUCUAGCGCGUGAGAGAACAAAGUUCUGUCUGUGCGAAAGGUGAAUACUGCUUUGGAUGAGCUAGAUGGUGUGGUUCGCGAUGCAGACGAAAUGGUUGUCUUCCACCCGUCUUGAAACACGGACCAAGGAGUCUAACAUAUAUGCGAGUAUUUGGGUGACAAACCCUGAUGCGUAAUGAAAGUAAAGAGCUGCAAAGCUUGAGGUAGGAAUCUCACCCUCGGGUGGGAGGCACUAUCGACCGAUCGUUCGCUUGCGGAAGAUUUGAGUAAUAGCAUAUCUGUUGGGACCCGAAAGAUGGUGAUCUAUGCCUGAACAGGGUGAAGCCAGGGGAAACUCUGGUGGAAGCUCGUAGCGAUACUGACGUGCAAAUCGUUCGUCUGAUUUGGGUAUAGGGGCGAAAGACUAAUCGAACCAUCUAGUAGCUGGUUCCCUC
rnacentral:misc_RNA from 1 species